CCCUACUGCCAGCUUGCAGGAGAGGGCAAGGAGUAAAGGCCCUCGUAGGAUCCCAUAGGAAGGCCACGGCAAGGUGCAGCCCCAGCACCUGCAGUGUCCCUGGGGAAGCUCACGUGGCCCUGAGAAACCUGGUGAGGGAAGGGCGUAGGACAGGAAAGGCAAGCGGUGAGAUUUGAGCAUGUUUCUCAGGUGGCCCAGCAACCCUUUGCCUCUGGGAUCAGAAGAACCAGCUCUUCCUGUAGGCAGUGGUCUUCCAGCUUCUCAGUUGAAUCUGCUUUUUGAGCAUCAGGGGGAUGCCAGGGACGAGGCUGUGGUUAAUGGUUAUCCCGGUUCUCGCCUGGAUCCCGUUGCUGAGGCUCGGGGUCUUCCCAGGGGUGGUCCAAGAGUUGUUGAACCUCGCAGGGGUGCCAGGGGUAAGUUGUGAGCGUUCCUUUACUUUGAGAGCUGCCAAGUGCCAGGCAAAAGGUGACGCCUGCCCCUCCACAGCUCUGAGACUCUCGACCUGCUAAUAGGUCCCAUGUCACUGCCUGGCCCCCCUUCCAUUCAGUGCAACUGCUGCGUGGAGCAAUCUGUACCAGCUUGUAAGGAAACCUUGUCACCAAUGCGUUCGGUUUGUGCUCUGCCUAUAGGCGAUGGUUACCAAACUUUUCAGCGGUAUCCAGUUCUCAUGCCUCAGGAGGAUCCCCGGGCUGUGGCCGUAGGGAGUGGAGAUCCCUCUUCUGCUCUGGAGCCUGGCCUGGAGACUCCGAGACAUCAUGGAGGUGUUCCUGUAGGCAGUGGCCUCCCAGCUUCUCAUCCGGAUGCCACUGUU